rnacentral:rRNA from 1 species
CCUACGGGCGGCAGCAGUGGGGGAUAUUGCACAAUGGGGGCAACCCUGAUGCAGCGACGCCGCGUGGGCGAAGAAGUAUUUCGGUAUGUAAAGCCCUAUCAGCAGGGAAGAAGAAAUGGCGGUACCUGAGUCAGAAGCACCGGCCAAAUACGUGCCAGCAGCCGCGGUACUACGUAUGGUGCAAGCGUUAUCCGGAUUUACUGGGGGUAAAGGGAGCGCAGGCGGCACGGCAAGCCUGUAGUGAAAGCCCGCGGCCCAACCGCGGGACCGCAGUGGGAACUACCGGGCUGGAGUGCCGGAGAGGUAGGCGGAAUUCCUAGUGUAGCGGUGAAAUGCGUAGAUAUUAGGAGGAACACCAGUGGCGAAGGCGGGCUACUGGACGGUGACUGACGCUGAGGCUCGAAAGCGUGGGGAGCAAACAGGAUUAGAUACCCGGGUAGUC